ACGUCAGCGUUUAGCUCUCUGCAACUCUCACAUGGUUGCCCACUGAAGCUAGCUUAGCAGGGCUGCACCCAGUCAGUACCUGGAUGGUAGACCACAUGGGAAAGCUAGGCUGUUGACGGA
rnacentral:rRNA from 1 species